rnacentral:rRNA from 1 species
AACGAACGCUGGCGGCGCGCCUAAUACAUGCAAGUCGAGCGAGAAGACGUAGCAAUACGUUUGUAAAGCGGCGAACGGGUGAGGAAUACAUGGGUAACCUACCCUCGAGUGGGGAAUAACUAGCCGAAAGGUUAGCUAAUACCGCGUACGCUCCUUGGACUUCGGUUCAGGGAGGAAAGCGAUACCGUGGGUAUCGCGCUCUUGGAUGGGCUCAUGUCCUAUCAGCUUGUUGGUGGGGUAACGGCUCACCAAGGCUUCGACGGGUAGCUGGUCUGAGAGGACGAUCAGCCACACUGGCACUGCGACACGGGCCAGACUCCUACGGGAGGCAGCAGUAAGGAAUAUUGCGCAAUGGGCGAAAGCCUGACGCAGCGACGCCGCGUGGGGGAUGAAGGUCUUCGGAUUGUAAACCCCUUUCGGGAGGGAAGAUGGAACGAGCAAUCGUUCGGACGGUACCUCCAGAAGCAGCCACGGCUAACUUCGUGCCAGCAGCCGCCGUAACAC